UGGGGAAUAUUGCACAAUGGGCGAAAGCCUGAUGCAGCGACGCCGCGUGGGGGAUGACGGCCUUCGGGUUGUAAACCUCUUUCAGCAGGGAAGAAGCCACAAGUGACGGUACCUGCAGAAGAAGCGCCGGCUAACUACGUGCCAGCAGCCGCGGUAAUACGUAGGGCGCAAGCGUUGUCCGGAAUUAUUGGGCGUAAAGAGCUCGUAGGCGGUUUGUCGCGUCUGCUGUGAAAGCCCGGGGCUUAACCCCGGGUGUGCAGUGGGUACGGGCAGACUAGAGUGCAGUAGGGGAGACUGGAAUUCCUGGUGUAGCGGUGGAAUGCGCAGAUAUCAGGAGGAACACCGAUGGCGAAGGCAGGUCUCUGGGCUGUUACUGACGCUGAGGAGCGAAAGCAUGGGGAGCGAACA
rnacentral:rRNA from 1 species